rnacentral:misc_RNA from 1 species
UGGUACUACAGAGGCGCGAUGGUUGUCGCUGACCUUUCCAAACGGUCGUGCACGCCGGAGCGUUCUCACACACAAUCCACCUCACCACUUGUGCAUCACCGUGCGGAGGCCCCUUGCUCUUGGCUCGCUUCGAGAGGGGGGAGGCUUUCGUUCUUUUUAACACACACACACACACACGUAGUAUAGAAUGUCAUUCAUUUGCGAUAACACGCAAUCAAUA